GGUAGUUCUCGGGUGACGCACCCUGGAAUCGGGCUCCCUCCUCUCUAGUUCUGGGUGCAUCACCCAAGAACCACA
rfam:Myotis davidii contig318059, whole genome shotgun sequence.